AUAGUCGGCUUUACUACUCCAAAAACUGUAGGUUUACUGCCUUUGUGCCCUUUUGUUCCUUGUGGGCCCACGAGUCACUGUAAAGUAAAUUUCAUAUCUCGGUUAUCUGUAUUAUAGUACGUAUGAAUGUAUUUAGCUUUUACAUUACAAAAAUUAUUUACCGAUGACUAUAAAUAUUGUUUUACAAGAAAUUAGAAUAUUUUAUUGAAUAUUUUUAUUUUAUUCAAAU
rnacentral:lncRNA from 1 species